rnacentral:rRNA from 1 species
CAGCAGCCGCGGUAAAACGUAGGUGGCAAGCGUUGUCCGGAAUUAUUGGGCGUAAAGGGCUCGCAGGCGGUUUCUUAAGUCUGAUGUGAAAGCCCCCGGCUCAACCGGGGAGGGUCAUUGGAAACUGGGAAACUUGAGUGCAGAAGAGGAGAGUGGAGUUCCACGUGUAGCGGUGAAAUGCAUAGAGAUGUGGAGGAACACCAGUGGCGAAGGCGACUCUCUGGUCUGUAACUGACGCUGAGGAGCGAAAGCGUGGGGAGCGAACAGGAUUAGAUACCCCUGUAGUCCCUGUCUCUUAUAC